rnacentral:rRNA from 1 species
AAUCCAUAGGUUAAUGAGGCGAACCGGGGGAACUGAAACAUCUAAGUACCCCGAGGAAAAGAAAUCAACCGAGAUUCCCCCAGUAGCGGCGAGCGAACGGGGAGGAGCCCAGAGCCUGAAUCAGCAUGUGUGUUAGUGGAAGCGUCUGGAAAGGCGCGCGAUACAGGGUGACAGCCCCGUACACAAAAGCGCAUGUGCUGUGAGCUCGAUGAGUAGGGCGGGACACGUGGUAUCCUGUCUGAAUAUGGGGGGACCAUCCUCCAAGGCUAAAUACUCCUGACUGACCGAUAGUGAACCAGUACCGUGAGGGAAAGGCGAAAAGAACCCCGGCGAGGGGAGUGAAAAAGAACCUGAAACCGUGUACGUACAAGCAGUGGGAGCACCCUUUGGGUGUGACUGCGUACCUUUUGUAUAAUGGGUCAGCGACUUAUAUUCUGUAGCAAGGUUAACCGAAUAGGGGAGCCGGAGGGAAACCGAGUCUUAACCGGGCGUUAAGUUGCAGGGUAUAGACCCGAAACCCGGUGAUCUAGCCAUGGGCAGGUUGAAGGUUGGGUAACACUAACUGGAGGACCGAACCGACUAAUGUUGAAAAAUUAGCGGAUGACCUGUGGCUGGGGGUGAAAGGCCAAUCAAACCGGGAGAUAGCUGGUUCUCCCCGAAAGCUAUUUAGGUAGCGCCUCGUGAAUUCAUCUCCGGGGGUAGAGCACUGUUUCGGCUAGGGGGCCAUCCCGGCUUACCAACCCGAUGCAAACUGCGAAUACCGGAGAAUGUUAUCACGGGAGACACACGGCGGGUGCUAACGUCCGUCGUGAAGAGGGAAACAACCCAGACCGCCAGCUAAGGUCCCAAAGUCAUGGUUAAGUGGGAAACGAUGUGGGAAGGCCCAGACAGCCAGGAUGUUGGCUUAGAAGCAGCCAUCAUUUAAAGAAAGCGUAAUAGCUCACUGGUCGAGUCGGCCUGCGCGGAAGAUGUAACGGGGCUAAACCAUGCACCGAAGCUGCGGCAGCGACACUGUGUGUUGUUGGGUAGGGGAGCGUUCUGUAAGCCUGUGAAGGUGUGUCGUGAGGCAUGCUGGAGGUAUCAGAAGUGCGAAUGCUGACAUAAGUAACGAUAAAGCGGGUGAAAAGCCCGCUCGCCGGAAGACCAAGGGUUCCUGUCCAACGUUAAUCGGGGCAGGGUGAGUCGACCCCUAAGGCGAGGCCGAAAGGCGUAGUCGAUGGGAAACGGGUUAAUAUUCCCGUACUUGGUGUUACUGCGAAGGGGGGACGGAGAAGGCUAUGUUGGCCGGGCGACGGUUGUCCCGGUUUAAGCGUGUAGGUGUGUGUUCCAGGUAAAUCCGGUU